UACGUAGGGUGCAAGCGUUGUCCGGAAUUACUGGGCGUAAAGAGCUCGUAGGUGGUUUGUCGCGUUGUUCGUGAAAACCGGGGGCUUAACCCUCGGCGUGCGGGCGAUACGGGCAGACUUGAGUACUGCAGGGGAGACUGGAAUUCCUGGUGUAGCGGUGGAAUGCGCAGAUAUCAGGAGGAACACCGGUGGCGAAGGCGGGUCUCUGGGCAGCAACUGACGCUGAGACGCGAAAGCGUGGGGAGCAAACAGG
rnacentral:rRNA from 1 species